GUCACUUGCCUGUGUUCCUUGUUAGGGCCUACCACCGGGUAGGUGCUUGGAAUGUGCUGUGGAUUAAAGGCUUAAAUCCUGCGGGCCCCUCAAUCUGAUCUAAGGACAUGAGUGGCUUAGAGAACGGCGCAACAAGGCUAAGCGAAAGAAAACAAAGCGGUGUGGCUGGGAGUGGGCUCCUUCCCUCCGCUGGUGAGGGUGCGAUCUUAGACUCUUGAGAGAACCCGACAUAAAGGCCGCGUUCCAAUGGCGGCCUUCUCCCCUACCGGCCAACCUGCCCCGAAAAGAGCAGAAGGCACCCUGCGGGAUCUGCAGAUCAGCUUGCGUCUCAUUCUGGGGCACCGACACGGUGGAAUGCAAGACACCCCACUACCGGAAGUUUCUUUGAUGUUAAGAAAAACGGCGG
rnacentral:lncRNA from 1 species